rnacentral:rRNA from 1 species
UACGUAGGGAGCAAGCGUUGUCCGGAAUCAUUGGGCGUAAAGCGCGCGUAGGUGGCCUCAUAAGUCCGCUGUGAAAGUCCAAGGCUCAACCUUGGAAAGCCGGUGGAUACUGUGAGGCUAGAGUACGGAAGAGGCGAGUGGAAUUCCUGGUGUAGCGGUGGAAUGCGCAGAUAUCAGGAGGAACACCUAUGGCGAAGGCAGCUCGCUGGGACGUUACUGACGCUGAGACGCGAAAGCGUGGGGAGCAAACAGG